AGAACAAGAAGAAAGAAGACAGAAAUUGUGGUGGUAACUGGUAAGGUGUUGAAGGAAGAAAAUAAGGUUUUGAUUUUAGUUAAGUUAGUUUGUGAUCGGAAAGGCGUUGUCGUCGAAAUCGAGUUAUUCCGUUAGCAUGAAAACUCCGAUUUCGGGUUUCUACAGAAACCCCGUCAAGUUCAGAAUGCCAACUGCGGAGAACUUGGUGCCCAUUCGGUUGGACAUUGAAAUCGAGGGGCAGAGAUACAAAGACGCAUUCACUUGGAACCCUUCUGAUCCCGAUUCUGAGGUUGUCGUUUUUGCCAAAAGAACCGUUAAAGACUUAAAGCUCCCUCCCGCUUUUGUAACUCAGAUUGCUCAAUCAAUUCAAUCACAGCUUGCUGAGUUUCGAUCCUAUGAGGGCCAAGAUAUGUAUGCUGGGGAGAAGAUUGUUCCAAUUAAGCUCGAUCUUCGUGUUAAUCAUACCCUCGUAAAGGACCAUUUUUUAUGGGACUUGAACAACUUUGAGAGUGAUCCUGAAGAGUUUGCCAGAAUAUUUUGCAAGGACAUGGGCAUUGAAGAUCCUGAGGUUGGACCAGCUAUUGCCUUUGCUAUCAGAGAGCAACUUUAUGAGAUUGCAAUUCAAAGUGUGGUUUCUGCAAGAGAGAGCAGAAUGAGCAAGAAGGGUCGUCGAGGGGCUGAAUAUACUCCAGUCAGUAAAGGAGGUGCUGUGGCGGUGGACUUGGUCAAGUUAUUUGGUCCAAAAUCUAGUGUAGUUCGAGAUCUGGACUGCUUGGAGCUUUUGAGACAUAUUGGAGAUGUAAAACUACAUUCUCCUUGUUAAUUGUUUGGAUUCCCUUUGCUACAGCAGAGCUAACGCUCAAUUCCCAAAGCCAAAAAUCCAAAUGUUUUCCUUUCUGUCUCUCUACGAAAAGAAAGGAGUGGGACGUAUAUGAACCUAUUGUGGACCUUCUAUCUAACGAGGAAGUUGAUGCCCUUGAAGCAAAGGAAGAGAGAAAUUUCAGGUGAACUGGCCCCAUGAUCAGCCAUGCCUUAUCAGAAGGGUGUAUGACAGCAUAUAUCGGAGGGUUGUAGUCCGAAGUAAUUUUAUGAUACACAAGUUGUUUUUAAUAGAUCAGGAAUCAAUUAUUCAGAAUAUUGUUAUCAUUUGCCUUUUUUGGAUGUGUAGAUAUUUAUUCUCUGUAGCCCCUGACAAGGAAAGAAAAAGCACCCUAUUUGCAUAAUGUUCAGACAAACUAAGCAGCAGUAACAAUAAAAAACCAUU